UCUUGGGAUCCGGUACCAACUCCAAAAGCUAUGGUUGGAAAAGGCUCCCCAAGGUUCAACAUAGGUGGUUCCCCAAAGUUGCGUAGGUUCAUUCCUACAACAAGUGCUACUAAAAAGAAGACUUCUCCUAAAUGCAGUGGGGCAAAAAAGAGUGGAAGUUCUCCAAGAGUAGUGAAACAAAGAGCGGAUUGGAAUCCAGGCCUUGAGAGGUCUCUUGUUGACAUUCUCCAUGAAUUUAAAGAUAGUGGAUAUAGA